GGGUUGAUAACGUGAAUGAGGUUUGAUACUCGGAAUGGGAACUACUUACAACAUAUGCUUCUUCUGAUGCACCUGAUCUCAUGUCAUCUGUCAACGUAGAUGAAAAGGUUCCAAAUACAAAUCCAAUAAUGCAUGUACGUUUCAAAUUACGUUUGUGGAGAUUCUCAGUCUCAACUUUCAGACACACAAUGUGUAUAUCGUUUCCUACCAU
rnacentral:lncRNA from 1 species